rnacentral:rRNA from 1 species
CCGAAUUCGUCGACAACAGAGUUUGAUCCUGGCUCAGGACGAACGCUGGCGGCGUGCCUAAUACAUGCAAGUCGAGCGGAUCGAUGGGAGCUUGCUCCCUGAGAUCAGCGGCGGACGGGUGAGUAACACGUGGGUAACCUGCCUGUAAGACUGGGAUAACUCCGGGAAACCGGGGCUAAUACCGGAUAAUUUAGUUCCUCGCAUGAGGAACUGUUGAAAGGUGGCUUCGGCUACCACUUACAGAUGGACCCGCGGCGCAUUAGCUAGUUGGUGAGGUAACGGCUCACCAAGGCAACGAUGCGUAGCCGACCUGAGAGGGUGAUCGGCCACACUGGGACUGAGACACGGCCCAGACUCCUACGGGAGGCAGCAGUAGGGAAUCUUCCGCAAUGGACGAAAGUCUGACGGAGCAACGCCGCGUGAGUGAAGAAGGUUUUCGGAUCGUAAAACUCUGUUGUUAGGGAAGAACAAGUGCCGUUCGAAUAGGGCGGCACCUUGACGGUACCUAACCAGAAAGCCACGGCUAACUACGUGCCAGCAGCCGCGGUAAUACGUAGGUGGCAAGCGUUGUCCGGAAUUAUUGGGUGUAAAGCGCGCGCAGGUGGUUUCUUAAGUCUGAUGUGAAAGCCCACGGCUCAACCGUGGAGGGUCAUUGGAAACUGGGGAACUUGAGUGCAGAAGAGGAAAGUGGAAUUCCA